UUUUGUGGUAGUGCGUAUGAAAUCUGGGCAGCCAUGAACUUGCCCAGAAAGCUCUGACAGCAAGUUCAUGGGCCCAGAUCUUUCUGUUGUUAGUUGUUUUGUUCUUGUUGAUGUAAUAAGGUUGUAAUCUGGUAUAUGGACUCUAUAUUUAUGCCUUAAAAUCUCCUUAACAUUAAUUGAGUCGAUUGUAGUGGCUGGUAAAAGUGGU
rnacentral:lncRNA from 1 species